UUUAAAUGGAACGCAAUCUAAAUGGAAGGAUGAGGUUCCAUGAUGUCAUCAAGGGUGGAUUCAUCUGAUUGGCUGGAUUUUUCACCUUUAAUUGGAAAGGACAGUGGACAAACAGGAAAGUAUUGGGAGAAGAAAGAGGAGAAGGGUCGGCAAAGGACCUCGAGCUAGGAAUCGAACUCGGGUCGCCGUGAGGACUAUGGUGCUAUAUGUCACCAUGAGAUAAACACACUUCAUUCAGCUUGGCCAAACCCCAGCCAUUAAGCAGCAGCGGCAGGCCAUUCAUGAGCUGCUCUCACGGGCCAAACUCCUCUGAUGAAUUAACACACGGAGCAGUGAUUUCCAAAAGAGUGCAGACAGAAGGAGAGCUGCGGGACAGCAGGAGGAGACCAUAUCGCUGACAGACGGCCAGUGAAGAUCUGCACUGUCGCAUUAUUUGCUUUAAUAUCAUGUAUUAAAGUAUCAUCUGCAGCCAGCAGGACGAGUUAGACUAAAGUUUCGUAUGGUUAAAAAAGGUUUCCGA